rnacentral:lncRNA from 1 species
UGGGAUUAAAGGCAUGAGCCACCGCACCCGGCCAGAUGUCAUUCUGUUUGUCACAACCAAGCUCUUCAUAUAUAUCAGUGAAUUCACCUUCACUAAGUUCUCCUGGCUGCAGAUCUAGAGUCUAUCCAACAGUAGCCAUGUAAACAUUUCCACAUUCAGCUAUUUUUUUUAUAACUCUAUUUAUAGAUUUCACUUCCAGCCUCAUCACUUUUCAUUUAUUUGCUGCACUUUGAUCUUUGUUAGUCAAUUCUUUCUUCUGAUUAUCCAUUUUUGUAAAAUGUCACAUGAGUUUGUCACUGGGAGGCUAUCUGUGGGUGAGCUGAGUGAUAUAUGUGCAGUGACCAAUCACUGGCAGACGUUGAAAGGAGUGACAUGAUUGGUCCCUGAUCAUGAUGUGCUUCUGCUAUUUACAUAGCGAUUUGUGGACUGGGAGCAAGCAGUGAGGUUUGUACCUUACGAAAUUAUACACAGGUAAUACACGGUGGUAACUGAAAUUUAAACAGUGUUGUUGGUAGAUUGAAGUUACUUAACUAAAUCCUAGUACCUGAAAUUUGUGCCAUGUCACAAAUGUGAAAAGAAGGGAAAUUCUUGAUUUUUCCAUCGUUAUACCUCAAGUUAUCCCCGACGUCAAAUAUUUAAAUAUAAUAAAAAUUUGAAGCAAAUGAACUGUGGCUGGAAAGCAUGUGAAUUAACCUGGAUUAGGACAAAAAUAAAGCACUCAGUGUUCAACAAAUGUGGUGGCUAGAAAGGCCAAUUAGAAAUAUAUCCUCACCUUGUGUUGCUUGGAGACUACUCAGGCAAUUAAAAUCCAUGCAUACAUAACUGAGGCACAGCAUAAAAAGCUGGCAGAGUGGCAUGGUAAAAAUACCAAGACUAUACAAAAUUCAUCCUCAGGCCAUUUAUUUGGUUGCCAUUUUUUAUUAGAGACCAAAAAUAUCUUCAUUGGAAUUGUUCUACAUAAGAAUUAGUAUGAGUGUGAUGUGUAAAAUAGAUUGCAGGUGUUGUGGGAAGAUUUGUUAGGAGGCUACAUUAUUUGCUAUUUUAGUAUGGCAUAGAAUUACUCUGGAGAAAGAGUUAUUGAGGCAAUGACAGUAGUAAUGGAGAGAGUGAAAAUUACAGAGGUGCAGGAGCUAAGACUUGUCACCUGGAGAUGAACAGAGAGAAGAGAAUCAUUUGGAGACAGCGAUUGUUUCAAGCUGUAGUGAUUUGCAGAAACCUGAAGAUCUGCUGAUCUUCACAAGAUACCAGUGAUGUUUAAUGCAGCUCAUUUGAACAAAAUUAAAACUAUUGCUAGGUUUUCUCACUUAGUUCUGCAUGCCAUCUCUCAUUGUUAUUCAUCUGUAUCACUAGUUCCCUUUAUAGACUAUCAUUUAAUAAAAA